rnacentral:rRNA from 1 species
GACAGAGGGUGCAAACGUUGUUCGGAAUUACUGGGCGUAAAGCGCGUGUAGGCGGCUAAGUAAGUCGGGCGUGAAAUCCCACGGCUCAACCGUGGAAGUGCACUCGAAACUGCAUAGCUAGAGUCCUGGAGAGGAAGGUGGAAUGCUUGGUGUAGAGGUGAAAUUCGUAGAUAUCAAGCGGAACACCGGUGGCGAAGGCGGGUCUCUGGACAGUUCCUGACACUGAGACACGAAGGCCAGGGGAGCAAACGGG